UAUUUUACAGUAAUUUUGAAGAUUUAUGCUGCGUUUCAGGCAACCUGUAACCCGUAAAUCACGACUUCAAAACGAGUUCACGGGUGUGAGUCACGAGUUUGACUGCCGUUCCAGUGCACUUUCACAGGUAGAAGGCUGUAAAAACACAGGUUACAGGCUGCCUGGUACGCAUACUCCCAGUUCAGAGUCGUGGUUUUGAAGUCAUAAUUCACGUGCUCAAAAACCAUUUUUUAUAUUGGACAAAACUGUUUUGGUGUUUUUCACUGCAACAACUAAGUGACUCUACGCGACCCACAGUUUGAACUACCCUGAACGGAUAAGUUACAAGCCUCUUUAACUGUCUAUGGGGUUACCAAAGCACAUUCUAUUAAUAGCUUAAAUUUUAACAUGUAUUUUAUUUAUUACAAUUUUAUAUGCUUCCUUUAUGUAUGUUAACAUUUUAAACAAUGACAAAUCAUAUCAAAAAUAAAAUAAACAAGUAAAACAAAAUGUUAUGGGUAGACUUUACCAAAACUUUAAAAAUCAUUAACAUAACGUUGUCAUCAUUUUCAAAGAUAUUUUUUUUCAGCUGAUGAACAAUAAAACAUUGACAGGCAAAUUAAAACGAGAAAAAACAAAAUCCAAAUUAAAAGAGGCACAUUCAAAAUUUGAAAAAUAAGCGCGCGAGCUCAGAAUAAACAUUACGUUAAGUCCGUUAGUGUUGACAGUGGCUGAAAAGUUAUGUUGAUUUUACAUCGGUAUGAAGAAGAAACAGUCCUUUUGUUUUGUUCACAGCAUUGGUCUUCUCCUGACCUUUGACUUGAGGUUGAGCAGCUCCACCGGUACCAUUAGAACAUGCUUUUUCGCCAGGUGCUUCCUGCAGUUUUGGAGCUUCUAGCUGAACUUCAUCCGUUUCACUCUGACUCUCCGUCUCCAGCAUCUCUACAGUUUUUUCCAUCCAACAAAAGGUUGGAUAACUUUUCGUCCCCGCCUUUGGUCUUCGCCGGCAUCCGUUAUCCUUCAGCUCAGAUUGAGAGAUGAACUGCACAUCAUCAUCUUCAACACACCCGCUGUCUUCAUACUCAAUGUCCAUUAGGAUGUCAGUGAGUUGUGGAGUGAGGUCAGACUGGGAUGAAGUAGUUGACAGUGUUAUCACCUCAGUAUAUUCAACAUCUGAGCUAAGCAGAGCACAUCCAACUGGCAGUGGAUUUGACUCUAAAGAAUGAAAGGACAAAAAAAGAGUUAAGAUGCUGAAGCAAAGUAAGCAACAUCUAACACCAGCAGCUCAGACACUGAAGAAUAAAAGCAUUUGACCUCCUCAUGUGCUGGAGCUGAUGUACGUGGAGCAACUGGUGUUGGCAAAGAAGAUGGAGACAGUCUGAAUAUUUCAAGCUCAAAAGACAACACAGUUUUAUCUUGGUAUACCUUGCUAGGAUUUCUCUUACCUGUUUGCUUUCUUUUGAUGAAAGUUUUCAACUUUUUCUCUCCACUCAAUAAAACGUGUUGGUCUGAA